UAAGGGCGCACGGUGGAUGCCUUGGCACUAGAAGCCGAUGAAGGACGUUACUAACGACGAUAUGCUUUGGGGAGCUGUAAGUAAGCUUUGAUCCAGAGAUUUCCGAAUGGGGAAACCCAGCAUGAGUUAUGUCAUGUUAUCGAUAUGUGAAUACAUAGCAUAUCAGAAGGCACACCCGGAGAACUGAAACAUCUUAGUACCCGGAGGAAGAGAAAGAAAAUUCGAUUCCCUUAGUAGCGGCGAGCGAAACGGGAAGAGCCCAAACCAACAAGCUUGCUUGUUGGGGUUGUAGGACACUCUAUACGGAGUUACAAAGGACGACAUUAGACGAAUCAUCUGGAAAGAUGAAUCAAAGAAGGUAAUAAUCCUGUAGUCGAAAAUGUUGUCUCUCUUGAGUGGAUCCUGAGUACGACGGAGCACGUGAAAUUCCGUCGGAAUCUGGGAGGACCAUCUCCUAAGGCUAAAUACUCUCUAGUGACCGAUAGUGAACCAGUACCGUGAGGGAAAGGUGAAAAGCACCCCGGAAGGGGAGUGAAAUAGAACCUGAAACC
rnacentral:rRNA from 1 species